rnacentral:rRNA from 1 species
CGGAGGGUGCAAGCGUUAAUCGGAAUUACUGGGCGUAAAGCGCACGCAGGCGGUCUGUUAAGUCAGAUGUGAAAUCCCCGGGCGUCAACCCGGGAACUGCAUUUGAAACUGGCAGGCUUGAGUCUCGUAGAGGGGGUAGGAAUUCCAGGUGUAGCGGUGAAAUGCGUAGAGAUCUGGAGGAAUACCGGUGGCGAAGGCGGCCCCCUCGGACGAAGACUGACGCUCAGGUGCGAAAGCGUGGGGAGCAAACAGGAUU